rnacentral:tRNA from 1 species
AUUUAUAUAAUAUAACAAUUAUAUUUGACUUCCAAUCAAAAAAUCUUUUACUAGUAUGAAUA